rnacentral:lncRNA from 1 species
GCCUCUAACUUAUCUGUCUAUUAUCUUUCGACAUAGGUUGACAACCCCAAAUCUUAAGAUGAACAAGAUUUAGUUUCUUAUCAGGCCACAUCUCAUAUAAUAUAGUAGGAAUGCAUUUAGAGAGAACUCUAUUCAAUAGAUUAAAGUAUGUCCCUAAAGAAAUAAGGGUUAGUGAGUAAGUGAACCUCAUCAUGGAUCAAAUCAUAUCUA